rnacentral:rRNA from 1 species
AACGAACGCUGGCGGCAGGCCUAACACAUGCAAGUCGAGCGGCAGCGGGAAAGUAGCUUGCUACUUUUGCCGGCGAGCGGCGGACGGGUGAGUAAUGCCUGGGAAAUUGCCCAGCCGAGGGGGAUAACAGUUGGAAACGACUGCUAAUACCGCAUGCGCCCUACGGGGGAAAGCAGGGGACCUUCGGGCCUUGCGCGAUUGGAUAUGCCCAGGUGGGAUUAGCUAGUUGGUGAGGUAAUGGCUCACCAAGGCGACGAUCCCUAGCUGGUCUGAGAGGAUGAUCAGCCACACUGGAACUGAGACACGGUCCAGACUCCUACGGGAGGCAGCAGUGGGGAAUAUUGCACAAUGGGGGAAACCCUGAUGCGGCGAUGCCGCGUGUGUGAAGAAGGCCUUCGGGUUGUAAAGCACUUUCAGCGAGGAGGAAGGGUGGUGUGUUAAUAGCACAUCAUUUUGACGUUACUCGCAGAAGAAGCACCGGCUAACUCUGUGCCAGCAGCCGCCGUAAAAC